rnacentral:rRNA from 1 species
AUGGUUCGUGUGUAUAUUUUACACAAACGUCAAAUCAAAGUUGAUGAUAAAGUAGCCAGAAGACAUGGUCACCCAUGUGUUGUUGCCACCACUUUUCCACAAUCCGAUAUGCCCUAUUUGUAAGAUGGUACACCCGUUGAUAUGGUGUUCAAUCCCUUAGGAGUACCCUCCCGAAUGAACGGGGAACAAAUAUAUGAAAGCUCACUUGGAUUAGCAGGGGAUAUGCUAAAGAAGCAUAACAUAAUAGCACAUGUCGCUCGUUCAGAUUCCUAA